GCCCUUCCCACUUUACAAGGGCUCCUUUGGGACUCAUGUACCUCCUUAAAGGAAUGCAACAGAAAUCAAGCUUACAACUGCAGUACGUUAAAGAACUGUUGUCUCUGGAAAUUAAGACAUGGCUUUUUGGAGCAACAGAAGCCAAAUAAUGAAUAAUUUGACUGGGCCUUGAAGUUUACCUAGGAUUAAGCAAUGUAUGCACG
rnacentral:lncRNA from 1 species